UGCAAUCUUAGUCAGCAGCUUCUAGGGCCUACUCCUAAUUCUCUCACACACAUUAAAUAGACACCGAGUUAAGGAAAGUUUUACAUUUACUGUGGAACACAUGAGGAGGACAAACAUAUAUCCAAGAUUUUUUCCUGCUUUAAACACCAGUGCCACUCCAGAGGAUAUGGAGCCUGGUGAUCUGAGGUGGGAUUUCUAAUGCAUCCACGCAGAUGAUGGAAAAGUUUGUAUCCUAUAUUUGGAAGGUAUGAUCUUGAUUUUGGGGGACGCAUCCUGCAGAAUGGGCUGAUCUGACUGCCCUGGUCUCCUCGGAGCUUGCACAUCAACCCAACGAACAUGUACACAAUGAUCUUAACUGAAGAACAGAGAAAAAGCAUUAUUUAGCCUGUUGAUGUCUGCCUGUUUAUCUGUUAGUCUAUUUGUGUGAAUAUGUAUCUAUCCAUGUAUCUAUCUGUAUCUAUUUACCUACUGUAAAAGAACUAGAACAGAUAUUAUUCUAAAACAUCUACCAGAUACAUUCCCCUACCCUAGACUGGGAAAUACAACCAGGUGGGUCACAUUUGUGUUUGAGGAUCCAUUUAUAAAACAUCUAGAUGCUUGUUAUCAAAAGUUUUGAUGAUUAUCAACAAGGAUAAUACAAUAACAUUUUAAUAACACAUUAUUAAUAUAGAGUUUCAUGUCAUUUUAUAAAGUGUUAGGGUUUGCAAUAAUUCCAUCCUCCUUAGCACAUUUUGCACUGUUUGCUGUUCAGCACCAAAAAGGGAUUUAGUUGCCAUUUUUAUUUCAGAAAGAGUGUUAUUCCAUCCAUCAUCAUCAACCGCUUACUCCUUUACAGGGUCGCGUUGAGCUGGAGCCUAACCCGGCAUACACAGGGCGCAAGGCGAGACUACACACUGGACGGGACGCCAGUCCAUCGCAGGGCACCACACACACACAGAGGGCAAUUUAGAGUGACCAGUCAACCUGGACAGCAUGUCUUUGGACUGUGGGAGGAAACCGGAGUACCCGGAGAAAACCCCCGCGAACACAGGGAGAACAUGCAAACUCCACACAAACAGUACCCUAGGCCAGAUUUGAACCUAGGACCCUGGCGCUGUGAGGCAGCAGCUCUAACCACUACGCCACCAUGCUGCCCAAGAGUGUUAUUGCGCUUUGAAAUUGUUCUUAUGGACCAUAUGGUAUUGGAAUGUUAGCAACCAAUCAGAAUGUUUUAGAUUUUAAGAGGCUCUCCUAUAAAAAGUAUCUUCCCACUUAAGAUACUAUUAUAUAAUGUCACCAACAUUAACUUUGUUAAUCUGCCGUUCCACUAUCACCCAACAGAUGGCAGUAUACGCGACCAGGCAUUUUUUUAAUUAAAAAGUUUAGAUGAUGUAAAAAAAAACCCAAAAAAAAAAACAAAAAAACAGAUUGUUAACAUAUUGAGAAUUGUAACUAAUACAGCACUUCAUUAAGUCAUAUACCUUUACGACCAAAUCUGCAUGCCCGUUAAGCAAACCAAUACCCAUUACUGCCUGUUAAGCAAACCGAUAUCUGAACUUCAGCAGGGAUUUUGUGUUUGUGGCGUUUAUUAUUUCAGUUUAGAAGCUGCUAGUCUGUCAUUGAGUUUAUAAUACAUGCCUUUAGAUCCUGCCUGAACAAUACAUGCAUGUUGUUCAUGUUGAUGAACAGUAGAAUGUCUGUUAAAAACCUAUAUAAAAACACAUACGAUUUCGUUACAAGACGCUGACAUAUUCUUAUAUUUGUUUUAACUGUGAAAUGAACGUGUAGGUGCAGUCCCUUGAAGUAUCCGUGUCAUUGCCGUGCACAGAUAUAAGACAUGACCCACUUAAAUAGGCUAUUGAAGGGACUGAUAUAAACAUUUAGCAUUUCUUGAAAAUACAAAUACUUAUGGUUUCAGGAUUCUCAAUACAUUAUUUCAGCUGAUCUGCAACAUCGCCUGUUAAUCAAUAGGAGCAGAAUACUCCAAAAGGAGGGCUUUGUUAAUUUCUUGUCAUUCUUACAUUUUUUAAAAAAUAUUAAAAGGUCAUUAAAUGCGAUGCGUGUGAAAAAGAGUAGGCUAACCAGAUAAUCUCGUUUAAAUGAAAACAGCUUUCAUGUUGCUUGUGCCAAAAUGGCAUCCGACCAUGUUUGAUGUGUAAGCAACAUUCUCCAAGCCCAAGUGUUAUGUGUAUUUGUAUUGCUAUAUGCCCUGAAGCAUAUCUGGGCGAUUAUAAUAUAUGUGACGUUAUUAGUGCUUAUAAUUCAACGUGGAACAAAUAUGUUUCAUCUUAAUAAUAGUUUAUUUAUUUGCAUUUCCUUCGAAUUGUUCCUUCGUCCAGACCAUCAAAUGAGCUACAUUAAUGGAUGUUGGGCUCGGGACAACAUUAGUCUCAACAAAAACAAAAACAAUGUCUUUAAAAAUGUUUUCGCAAGUGCAAUGGUGCAGGAUUUCAUUGUCCUCCCCGAGGAUGAGCGCUCAAAUUAUUGCAUACAGGUUUGCGCGCUGUGUAUUGAUUAGAUGAAUCAUCACUCGGAACACUAAGGAUUUUGAGUUUUCACAACACAUUGAAAACUAUUUAUAUUAGAGUUAUUCUUUAAAAAUAAAAAUAGCCCUAGAAAUAAAAACAACCCAACUUCAGUAUCAACUCACGUGAGUGGCGCGUUAUUUUAUUUAGUUAGUCGUGUUGGAAUUCACAUAUUCUUUAUAACAGCACAUGAAUAAAUGAUUAACCUGUAUUAAAUUAUUUUUUUAUUUGUUUGUUUUAUUAUUUACCUUUACGCGAUUAAGGGGAAGGCGACAGGCACAUCAAUACGGUGUUAACAUUUUGGUAUAGAAAAGGAAUCAGCAAUAAUUUAUUUUUUGCGCAAUAAUUGUUUAUUAAAAGUUACUUUGGAAAAAAAUAAUACCAUUUUGAUAUUAUUUUCUUUUUUGUUUUUAAUCUGAAGUGCGUUAUGUUAAUAUGGGCGAUGUUUUAACAACAAAAGAGCAUAUGCGCCAUCGUGUACUGUAAACAUGAGUAGAAACAAAAUCAUCAACAAAAUUGGCGCUAGAUAUUUUUAGUAUGCAGUGUUUAAAAUGUACAGCAUUUUACCAAAAAACAAACUAUUAUGAAAAGAAAAAUAGAAAAAAUGCAGAGAAAAAAUAAUAAAUAUGUUUUAGCUCUGUCCAGUUUAAUAUUAUUUAUUGUUGUUAGCAUUUUGGUCUCAACGUGCCGUGUUCUUAGUAAAUACAUUCAUGUGGGAGGAAAAUUCACAGAAUUGUUUCCUAACCGAGGGUUUCAUGUGUCGCUUUAAUUUCACCACAGUGCUGACAUAUUCAUAACAAAUACCAAGGGUUUAAUCUUCAGAUAUACGCACGAUUUUAUCUGCGGUUUAAAAAAACAAACAGAGACAACUAUCCUAUACUUUAUAUUUGUGAGUUACAUGGUUUUACAUUAUUGUAGACUAUAGUUUAUACGCUGCGGUAUCUUCUAUUUUAGACUAACCAAUCAAACAGUGAGAAAUGGCAACAGAUUGUGUGCGCGUGUGUGUGCGCGCGCCUUUUUUGAAAGCUCCCAAAAACACAACUUGUUAUGGAGGUAAAUAAAAAGUAAAUAACAGAUUCGUGAAUGUGAAAUGUAAUUACUUUGAAACACUUUGUGAUGUGCAAGUUAAAUGAAACAAACCAAAAAUGCAACUUCACGCCCACUGGUUUCGAUUUAGUAUGUGUGAACAAAAACGAUUUACAGUUUACUUGCAGUUGCAGAUACAGUUACUGGGUUUAAACAAGGUCAGCUAGAGCCUGUUAUAGCCAUCAGCAUAACUAACUUCAUCGUUGAGACGUGCUUAUACUUUUCUAGUUUUCAGUUCUCUUUGUUGAAAAAAUAUUCUUUCGAAAAAUACCAUUUGUGAUAAUAUUGGCCAUACUGUAAAAGUCUUUACUCUGGUUUGUAUUAACUGUUUUUCAAAAGGACAAAAUUCAUGCCUUAACGUUAUAAAAUGAGAAACGACUUGUGAUCUCGAGACUUUGAAUUGUAUUACUCAUUUGUUUAGUUCUGUAAAAUGAACCGGAGUUUUUUUGUUUGUUUUUUACUCCUUCCAAAAAAUAUAACCUGUUGCUCAGUUACCAAAUUGUAAAGUGCCUUUUUGGUCCACAGUGGUAGGUCUAAACCAUCUAUUUAAAUAAAAACACUUGCUGCGUCAAAGUGGUCGUUCAAAAGGUCAUUACAAAAUAUAUUUUAUUUUCCCAUUUUGGAGAACCUCAAUGAUCUAAAUCAUAGAACACCCUUUUUGACGAUUAUGUAAUGAAAUCAAUAACUAUUAAAAGAAAAAAAAAACGAAAACAAAAACAUAAAUAUGUAAUGUAAUUUAAUGUGUUAACAAAUUGAAAGUUAAAUAAACUUUAUACAGCCUACAUAAUAUACACUGGGUACCCAAGAAGGCUUCGGCAAACAUGUACGGUUUAGAAACCACAUACCUCCAACAACCGCUGCAGUGUCUAUCUGCAUAUGCUAAUGUGUGAAACCCCAUGAGUUUAAUGCGUUGAACGCUGCAACUCUGCACAACACGACGAAAAACUUACUGACAAAAUUAGCCUACGCUAAAAUAAUUGGUUUAAAUGCAAUAUGCAGUUUAUUAACGAACUUAUUAAACCAGUUUUAGGUUUUAUAACGGUGGCGUAUUGCAAUGGUUUUCAAUG